ensembl:lncRNA
UAUAUAUAUAUAUAUAUAUAUAUAUAAAAAGGAGAACUUUGGAAAUAUCAACUGAACAGCGGCACAGGUGCCAUUGUUGCACCUUUGUCCCAGUUCACAGAAAGGAGUUGGAAAGCAGCCGGAUCAAAGGAAUCAAUGUGUACGUCUGUGAAUAGGAUGUUUUUGUGACAGGGACAUAAUCAGAGACUGGCUUUGAAACACCAUUUCAAACAUUUACAAAGCCAAAUAAAAGUCAGUGGGCAAAGCGCAAUUCUUUUCAAGCCCUAACUGAAAUGUGUCCGUAGUAAGGUUGCACAAAUAUGUUGUUCUUUUUUGAAAUUUCCAUUGCAAAGUCAAAUUUUGAACUCUAUUGCUUGUGACUAACAAUUAUACAUAUGUAUGUUUUACAUGUAUAUUUAUACAACGUUUUUUUGGUCUCGUUUGUGAUCACUUCACUGUUCAAAUGACUGAAAGAAUGUUAAAUAAUACUGAAAUCACCAGAAAGGUCUUCGUGCAUUGUUUUGAUAGCGGCAGUAGUAAUAACGAUAUCUAGUAGGUUGGAUUGAAGCAGCGAGCUCCGUUAAAUAAAGGAGACUUCCUGGUGGAGCUGCAGGUCGGCGCAGCGUUACUUGGACUCAGUAGUGUUUAAACUCAGCCGACGGCCUGAAAUCAAAGUUACACCAGACCGUGAAAGCUGGAACCACUAAAAACUACCAGUAGUAGUACGAAGGUGCAGUAAACUUACCCCUUUCUCCACAAAUACACAAGCGAGGACACAACUCUUCAGAGAGGUUGAGAGUUUUGCCACAUAACCGCCACUCCUUCCUCAACGGUCCCCCUUCCCUCCCUUUGCACCGGGAGUCUCCCCCUCUCUCCCCCUCGCUCUCCCGGCCCGGGGAGGAGGACUGUGUGUCGCAAUGUUAGCUGCUUCCAGUCGGGGACAUUACAAAUGCCAGAUAUCCACUCGCUAUCGUUGCUGCUGACAUGCAAACAAAAGAAACUAGAGGAAUUUCACGCAAAGGAAAAAGUUCACUUCUUGAAAUUCAAUUGGGGGACUUCCGGUCGCCGCCUUCAAAAUAAAUGUGUUGUUUUUAGUUCGCGUUCUAGAUGCAGCUACACAAGCCGAGCUACGGAUCAGGAGAGAAACAACAAUAACUUUGCUGGCGCACAUUUAAGUUGUUUUGUACUCGUGUUUUCCGGCGUGUUGUUUGUGGCUUA